rnacentral:lncRNA from 1 species
UCAUGGGGGAGAUCAUGGAGGUGUGGGAGUUACAACCAUAAGUAUUGGAGUAGUGGGAGUUAUGGAGAUAAUGGAUAAAAGUAGUGGGUGUUAUGGGAGUUAUGGACAUCCACCAUAAUCUAAUAUUUCAUAACACUCUCCCUUGGAUGUCCAAGGAUAAUGUGCCUCGUUAAAACCUUGACUAAAAUAAAACCCAAUGGGAAAAAAAAAUUCUAGAAAAGGAAAAAGAGUACACAUAUCUA